AGCUCUUUAGACCAAAUUAUAGCAAAAACAAUUGUUGUGUUGUAUUGGAUAAGUCUGUAGAACUCUGAGACGUGAUGACUAAUCGGUUUAAGAGCAGUAAAUACAUUUUUAAAGUUCAUUGCCUUAAAAGGCUUGAUGGGUCUGGCGAGGAACAAAUUAAUGAAAUGGGUUAACUUAACUGGAAAUAUUGAAAUCGUAUAAAUACAGCAAUCAUAGAUUGGGGAUAGAGGGGAUAUAGAGGACUGCUGAACUACCUCUGCCAAACGUAAAUAGGUGCUAGAGGCAGGGGUGAACUUGGGGAGUUCUUUCAG